CAAGCGGAGAACAAUCGCUCUGCAAUGUUUCCCCAGAGUUCUGGAGGUCCGGCUCGUUUUCCCAGGGAUUAGAAAAAUGAAGUGACACAAAUCAGGUCAGACUUCAGGGAUCAGAAGAAUGGAAAUGAACUGGAGAACCUGCAUGUUAAUUGUAACUUUACAAUGUUAACAUUAAUGACGGUGUGGCAACGGCUCCAGCAAAAUUGAAAAGACACUUCACUACAAAUCACGGCCAUGGCACGUAAAAGUACUGAUUAUUUUAAACAGCUAUUGGAACCUCAGAACAAACAGAGUAAAGAUUUGGCUAACAAAGUCACAGUCAGUAAAAGGGUUCAGGAAGCACUCUUCUGUUCAGGUUGCUGUCAAUGCAAUGCUCCUCAGACAGGAUGAAGAGAUCAUUACUCCCCAACGCCAUUCGGCUCUACAAUUCAACCUCCAGGGGCAAGACAUGUUAAAGUGCCGUAGCAGUAGCAGAACUGAUUUCCCAGAAAAGGAAGUCACACAGUUGGUGAGAAUCUAGUAAUGCCAGCAUGCAAAAUUAUAGUGGGUAAAUACUAGGAAAAGAUGCAGUUUGAGAUAUUGAAAGUGUUUCACUCUUUCAAGCAGUACAUGAUGACAUGUUACAUAACGCUGAAGAGAUUUUGUGUAAUAAACUGAAAGGCAACAGUUUGUCUUUCCAGGUUGAUGAGUCGAUUUCACCAAUAAGUAUAAUGUUGCUGCACUUGUAAGAUUUGUAAAUGAUAGUGAAAUUCAAGAAAACUUUUUCUGUUGCCAAGAGCUGCCCAAAACAGGCGAAGGACAAGAUAAGUUUAAAGUUUUGUCUUCACAUCUGGAAACAAAAGGUUUGUCUUGGAGGCCAGAUGAUGAAUGGGUGCAGACACUAGCCUACUUCGCCGACAUUUUUCAUCAUAUGAAUCAGCUGAACAAGUCCCUGCAAGGCCCCGAAGAAAAUGUCUUGACUUCAAGUGACAAGAUUCCUGGAAGUAAAAGGAAACUGAAUCAUGGGCAAAAAUGUGUUGCAAAAAGAAAUCUUCAAGUGUUUCCACAGCUGCGUGGGCUUGAGAGCGAGGAAGGAUAUCAGAAAGUUUUGAGUCUUAUUGAAAAACUAUCUGGAACAGCUGCAGAACAAAAUUGAACAAUAUUUCCCCUCCCUUUCAACACAAGUGUACGACUGAGUGAGGGGCCCUUUCUCUGAAACUUCGGCCCAGCCUGAGAACUUGACUUAUAGAGAAGAUGAAGAACUUUGUGAGCUGCCGUGCACUUAAGAUGAGAUUUACUGACCUGCCCCUGGACAAGUUCCGGAUUUCUGUGAAAGAAGAGUACACUGCCAUUCAGUUAAAAAUUUUCCCGCAGUUUUCAACUUCUUACACGCGUGAGCAAGCCUUUUCUGGUUUAACAAGCAAGGAUAGAAAUCGUCUCAUUUCAGUUGACUAUGAAAUCUGUGUGUGCUUAGCUGAAGUUUGACCCACAAUUGAGUAUUUGUGCAGCAAAAACAAGCACAAGUUUCACUUGCUAGACCUAUAUUUGAGCUGGAUCAUGUCACUUUUUAAGAAAAUGUUUUUUUCAAAGUCUUGAAUAAAAUUGAGUCAUAGGCUA